rnacentral:rRNA from 1 species
CCUACGGGCGGCAGCAGUGGGGGAUAUUGCACAAUGGGGGGAACCCUGAUGCAGCGACGCCGCGUGGGUGAAGGAGUGCUUCGGCAUGUAAAGCCCUAUCGGCAGGGAAGAAGCAAGACGGUACCUGACUAAGAAGCCCCGGCUAAGUACGUGCCAGCAGCCGAGGUAAUACGUAGGGGGCGAGCGUUAUCCGGAUGCACUGGGUGUAAAGGGAGCGUAGACGGCCAUGCAAGCCAGGGGUGAAAGCCCGGGGCCCAACCCCGGGACUGCCCUUGGAACUGCAUGGCUGGAGUGCGGGAGGGGCAGGCGGAAUUCCUGGUGUAGCGGUGAAAUGCGUAGAUAUCACGCAGAACUCCGAUGGCGAAGGCAGCUUACUAAGCCAUAACUGACGCUGAGGCACGAAAGCGUGGGGAUCGAACAGGAUUAGAUACCCUUGUAGUC